GUAGUAUUCCUCACGUCCGGAAAUACUUGUCCUUGGAAUGAUUGUAUCUAGACUUAUUUUAGUUAUAAACACAUCCAUUUUAUCCAUUUCUAGAACAAGUAUUUUUGGACGGAGGGAGUAACAU
rnacentral:pre_miRNA from 1 species